rnacentral:lncRNA from 1 species
GCGUGGGGCACCAUCGCGCGAAGCAAGCGCGCCAGGGCGCGGCACCAUCGCGCGCAGCAAGCGUCCCAGCGCACGGCACCAUCGCGCGCAGCCAGCGCGAUAGCGAGGGGCACCAUGGCGCGCAGCAAGCGCGCCUGCGCGCGGCACCAACGCGCGCAGCAAGCGCGCCAUCGCGCGGCACCAUCGCGCGCAGCAAGCGCCCCCGCGCGCGGCACCAUCGCGCGCAGGCAGCGCGAUCGCGCGCGGCACCAUCUCCCGCAGCCAGCGCGAUAGCGAGGGGCACCAUGGCGCGGUGCAAGCGCGCCAUCGCGCGGCACAAUCGCGCGCAGCAAGCGCACCAGCGCGCGGCACCAUCGCGCGCAGUUAGCGAGAUUGCUGGCGGCACCAUCGAGCGCACCAAGCGCCCCAGCGCGCGGCACCAUCGCGCGCAGCAAGCGCCCCAGCGCGCGGCACCAUCUCCCGCAGCCAUCGCGAUAGCGAGGGGCACCAUGGCGCGCAGCAAGCGCGCCAUCGUGCGGCACAAUCGCGCGCAGCAAGCGCACCAGCGCGCGGCACCAUCGCGCUUAGUUAGCGAGAUUGCUCGCGGCACCAUCGCGCGCACCAAGCGCCCCAGCGCGCGGCACCAUCGCGCGCAGGCAGCGCGAUCGCGCGGCAAGGCAGCCAACGAUCUUGCGCGAGGCUGCGCACGCUGGCGCGCGAGGUUGCCCACCCUCGCGCGGCAAGGCAGCCAACUCUCGCGCGGCGAGGCUGCCCACGCUCGCGCGGCAAGGCUGCGCACUCUGGCGCGCGAGGCUGCCCACGCUCGCGCGGCAAGGCUGCGCACUCUGGCGCGCGAGGCUGCCCACCCUCGCGCGGCAAGGCAGCCAACCCUGGCCCGCGAGGCUGCCCAUUUCCGAGUAAGGCAUGCUUCACCCACUCGCGAGGAAGGCAGCGCGAACUCGUGCGAGGGAUGUAGCCCAGCCUCGCGUGCCCGCAGCGCACGCUCGCGGGGAAGGAUACGAGCGCGCGCGCGGCAUGCACCUGGCACUCGCGCGGCAAACUGCCUAAGCUCGAGAGGCAUGCAGCGCGCGGCCGCUCGCAAGGCAAACUGCCGACGCUCGAGCGAGGCAAGGCAGCGGGCGCUCGCCACCAAGGCACGCAGCCCACGCUCGAGCGAGGCAAGGCUUGCGCGCGGCAUGCAGCCCCCACUCGCGCGGCAAGCAGCGCAGGCUCGCGAGGCAAGCUGCCCACGAUCGCGGGGCAGGCCGCGCUCGCCGUGGCUGGGGCGGGUGGCCUCCUUCCGCGCGGGAAGUGGCCAUGUCCCUUCCGGCGCUGCUACCGCUGUUCCAUGGGGGCCGGAUGCUGCAAUUAGCCUCCUUCAUGCGAGAAACCACCAUGGGCAGCGGACAAGCGGCCGACGUGCUUUGAAGGCCUAGAUUUUUUGCGCGGACGCAGAACACGAGAUGGCGGGCUUAGGGAACAAUUUUUUGGCCGCUGGAAAACAGUUUUAAAAAUCGUCCAAAAUGGAGAAACCGGGACACAAAAAAACUCGUAAGAUAUGCAAACGGCACCGGAAUGGGCUGAAAUUUUAGGAGGCGCCGUAUAUCGACCUGAAUUAUCUGAUGGGACCAAAAAGUGGUGGAAAUUAUGCCGGAGCUCGGGGUCCCAAAUUUUGGGCAAAAAUGGCCAAAAACCGUGGCCAUUUUGAGCACACGGAUUUUGCCCAAAUUUCGCGUUUUCGGGGCGGCAGGGGAUUUUGGGCCGGCAUUGUCGAUGUUGGUGGGAGUUAGCCACAGGAGAAAACGGAAGCCAAUUUUCUCCUUUGUGCCAGCCACUUAGAUUUUGCCGAGAGUUUAGCCUCAUAAAAAAACACAAGUCCGCUCCGAGGCCUGAGUUAGCCUCCUUUCGGAGCCAUCACACAAGUCUUUGUGCCAGAGUUAGCCUCAUGAAAAGGAGAGUGUGCUGCCUUUGUGCCAGCCACUUAGAUAUUGCCGAGAGUUAGCCUCGUGAAAAAACACAAGUCCACUCCGAUCCUUGGGCGUGUGCGCCGCAGGGGGCUAACCUCCGACGGGUUCCGAACAAGAGAAGACGGUGCGAGUGAGGGGGGAGGGACGAAUCUGAGCGACGUAGGGCUGAAUCUCAGUGGAUCGUGGCAGCAAGGCCACUCUGCCACUUACAAUACCCCGUCGCGUAUUUAAGUCGUCUGCAAAGGAUUCUACCGCCGCUCGAUGGGAAUUACGAUUCAGGCGGCCGCCGCGGCCCUUCCGCGCGGGGGCUUGGCCUACGACACGUGCCUCUGGGGACCGGGAGGUCCCUACUGCGGGUCGGCAAACGGGCGGCGGGCGCACGCGUCGCUCUAGCCCGGAUUCUGACUUAGAGGCGUU